UGGCUUUCUUCCUUUCAGGUAGAAUAUGCUGUCUUAAGAAACAUUACAGAAUUAAGAAGAAUCUAUAGCUUUUAUAGCAGACUGGGAUGCGACUACUCUCUGGAUAAUACCUUUCUGAUGACAAAGCUUCACUUCUGGAGAUUUCUAAAGGAUUGCAAAUUUCAUCACCACAAACUAACUCUUGCUGAUAUGGACAGGAUAUUAAGUGCCAAUAAUGACAUACCAGUUGAAGAAAUCCAUUCUCCAUUUACAACAAUACUUUUGAGAACAUUUUUGAAUUAUCUCCUGCAUUUGGCGUACCACAUUUAUCACGAAGAAUUCCAGCAAUUUAUUCCUUGAGCAGCAGCGGACAUUGUACUCUAUGAGUUACAUCAGUAAGUGCUGGGAGAUUUAUCUAGCUUACUGCAGGCCCCGCGCAGCACCUCCCCACGAGCUUACCAUGAAGACGAGACACUUCCUCUGGAUGCUGAAAGUAACCACCUAAGUUUGAUAUUUUCUACUUACAGGCACUUUGAUUUUAAUGAAAGAAAGGCACGAUAUUCUAGCUAUGAUUUGCAAACAAUCAGUUGAAGAUCUGGGUGCAUUUUCAUGACCAUUGAAUGUUUACUGAUUCUCUUGGCAGAAGAGUGGUCUAUGGUUGUGGAAGGAACAGAAACAGCCGUCACCUGCCGGAUGUGCUUGAAGAUUAGGGCAAGACAAUGGCCCGUGGCCUACAAUAUCUUUUUUUGAGAUGGAGUUUUGCUCUUGUCAUCCAGGCUGGAGUGCAGUGGCAUGAUCUCAGCUCACUGCAACCUCCACCUCCCAGGUUCAAGUG
rnacentral:lncRNA from 1 species